GACGAACGCUGGCGGCGUGCUUAACACAUGCAAGUCGAACGAAGUGGCGAACGGGUGAGUAAUACGUGAGUAACUGCCCUCCUUUUUGGGAUAAGCCUUGGAAACGGCUGCUAAUACCGGAUAGUGGGGGAUGACUCGCGUCCUAUCAGCUUGUUGGUGGGGUAGUGGCCUACCAAGGCGACGACGGGUAGCCGGCCUGAGAGGGCGACCGGCCACAUUGGGCUGAGAUACGGCCCAAACGCCUACGGGAGGCAGCAGUGGGGAAUAUUGCACAAUGGGGGAAACGCUGAUGCAGCAACGCCGCGUGCGGGAUGACGGCCUUCGGGUUGUGAACCGCUUUCAGCCAUGACGCGUUACCAACAGAAUAAGCACCGGCUAACUUCGUGCCAGCAGCCGCGGUAAUUC
rnacentral:rRNA from 1 species